rnacentral:rRNA from 1 species
UACGGAGGGGGCGAGCGUUAUUCGGAAUUAUUGGGCGUAAAGGGCGCGUAGGCGGCUUGAUGUGUCAAAGGUGAAAUCCCUCGGCUCAACUGAGGAACUGCCUUUGAAACUGUCUGGCUUGAGGCCGGGAGAGGGUAGCGGAAUUCCCAGUGUAGCGGUGAAAUGCGUAGAUACUGGGAGGAACACCGGUGGCGAAGGCGGCUACCUGGACCGGAACUGACGCUGAGGCGCGAAAGCGCGGGUAGCAAACAGG